AACCACCUUCCGACAAUAUGAGACAAUAAGCAGCUUCCAAACGCUGUUGGGAGGAUUUUCAAGUCGUGACAAGUGAGAAACGCACAUGCAACAGUAUGGCUGCCAAAAAAAGUCUCUUUGGGGAACACAACACACCCGCUGUCAAGAGUCUUACUCAGGGUGAAUCUCCUGUGUCCAUGAAGAGUGCUGAAUCAAAGGAUACACCAGUAAACUUAAAGGACUCUUCUGCUGAUGUCAGUCUAAUUCAGGGUGAAUCUCCUAAGCCCAGCUGUGUGUCCAUAAAGAGUUAUGAAUCAAAGGAUACACCAGUUAACUUUAGGGAAUCUUCUUCUGAUGUCAGUAACAAACAGGAUGGAUCAAACUCCCUUGAAAAGAAGAAGUUGGACUCCAUUUUUAAGGUC
ensembl:lncRNA